AGAGUUUGAUCCUGGCUCAGGACGAACGCUGGCGGCGUGCUUAACACAUGCAAGUCGAGCGGUAAGGCUCCUUCGGGAGUACACGAGCGGCGAACGGGUGAGUAACACGUGAGCAAUCUGCCCAUCUCAUCGGAAUAACCAUUGGAAACGAUGGCUAAUGCCGAAUACGACCACCUUGGGCAUCCUUGGUGGUGGAAAGCUCCGGCGGAGAUGGAUGAGCUCGCGGCCUAUCAGCUAGUUGGUGAGGUAACGGCCCACCAAGGCAACGACGGGUAGCCGGCCUGAGAGGGUGAUCGGCCACACUGGGACUGAGACACGGCCCAGACUCCUACGGGAGGCAGCAGUGGGGAAUAUUGGACAAUGGGCGCAAGCCUGAUCCAGCAACGCCGCGUGAGGGAUGAAUGCCCUCGGGUUGUAAACCUCUUUCAGCAGGGACGAAGCGAAAGUGACGGUACCUGCAGAAGAAGGACCGGCCAACUACGUGCCAGCAGCCGCGGUA
rnacentral:rRNA from 1 species